rnacentral:rRNA from 1 species
CCUACGGAUGGCUGCAGUCGAGAAUCUUUCACAAUGGGGGAAACCCUGAUGGUGCGACGCCGCGUGGGGGAAUGAAGGCCUUCGGAUUGUAAACCCCUGUUAUCUGGGAGCAAAUUAAACAGAUAGUACCACAAGAGGAAGAACCGGAUAACUCUGGGCCAGCAGCCGCGGUAAUACAGAGGGCGUAAGCGAUGUUCGUAAGCACUGGGCGUAAAUGGUGCGUAGGCUGUUUCGUAAGUCGGGUGGGAAAGGCGCGGGCUCAACCCGCGGACUGCAGAUGACACUGGGCGACGUGAGUAGUGGAGAGGGAAGCGGAAUGCGCGGUGUAGCAGUGAAAUGCGUAGAUAUCGAGAAGAACACUCGUGGCGAAGGCGGGUUACUGGACAUUAACUGACGCUGAGGCACGAAGGCGAGGGGAGCGAAAGGGAUUAGAUACCCUAGUAGUC